rnacentral:rRNA from 1 species
UUCGCAAUGCCCGAAAGGGUGACCGAGCGACGCCGCGUGGAGGACGAAGGCCUUCGGGUUGUAACUCCUGUCGAGGGGGAGGAAGGGGCAACCUUGACCGACCCCUGGAGGAAGCACGGGCUAAGUUCGUGCCAGCAGCCGCGGUAAGACGAACCGUGCGAACGUUAUUCGGAAUCACUGGGCUUAAAGCGCGUGUAGGCGGGUAGGCACGUCCGACGCUGAAAUCCCCCGGCUCAACCGGGGAACUGGCGGGGAUACGACCGGCCUGGAGGGACGUAGGGGGACCUGGAACUUCCGGUGGAGCGGUGAAAUGCGUUGAGAUCGGAAGGAACGCCCGUGGCGAAAGCGAGGUCCUGGACGUCUGCUGACGCUGAGACGCGAAAGCUAGGGGAGCAAACGGGAUUAGAUACCCCGGUAGUCCUAGCCGUAAACGAUGGGCACUAAGUAGAGGGGUUUU